CACAGCUCAACAUCACCCCUGUAGGCAGCACAGGAGCAGGGUUCAGAACUUCAGGACAGUUUCAGUCUCUUCUUACACAGAGGAGAGAGAGAAAGAGAGAGAGCAUGCAAGUGGCUGAGAGGCAGAGUGACAGGGAAAGACUGAGAUUCCAAGCUUCUCUGAGCUCGAACUCACAAACUGUUCAAGAUCCAGUAUAACACAAAAGGUGGAUGGCAAUGGGAGGAAGCCACAGAAGAGAAUUGAUACUGGGCAUCUCAUUGCUCUUGAAAAGGCUCCAAUACUGAGUUACGAAGACUAAGACGAAUCAUAAGGAUACAUGAAAAUCAACAUUUGAAGGUCUUUGGAACCUAAGCAAUCAGAGAGAACAUCCAUGUGCUCCUACCACCGCCCCAACUCAGAAAUCAGUGUCUGUGCCUCCCUCCUGGUAACCUGGACGCCUCUCUGUGCACCUUCUCUUCUACACAAGGACACCCCACCAAGAUUGUUCCUCAUUCUUUCUUGGGUCAUCAUUUCUCUAGUGCAUCAUAACCAUCAGCACACACACUGUAA